rnacentral:rRNA from 1 species
UACGAAGGGGGCUAGCGUUGCUCGGAAUCACUGGGCGUAAAGCGCACGUAGGCGGGUUGCUAAGUCGGGGGUGAAAUCUCAGGGCUCAACCCUGAAACUGCAUUCGAUACUGCUCUGCUCGAGGACUCGAGAGGAGAUUGGAAUUCACGGUGUAGCAGUGAAAUGCGUAGAUAUCGUGAGGAAGACCAGUGGCGAAGGCGGAUCUCUGG